CUCUCUCUCUUCACCCUCUCUCUCUCUCUCUCUCUCUCUUCACCCUCUGUCUCUCUCUCUCUCUUCACCCUCUCUCUCUCUCUUCGCCCUCUGUCUCUCUCUCUCUUCGCCCUCUGUCUCUCUCUCUCUCUCUCUUUCUCUCUCUUCUCCCUCUGUCUCUCUGUCUCUCUCUCUCUGUCUCUCUCUCUCUCUCUGUCUCUCUUUCUCUCUCUUCUCCCUCUGUCUCUCUCUCUCUCUCUCUCUGUCUUUCUUCUCCCUCUGUCUCUCUCUCUGUCUCUCUUCUCCCUCUGUCUCUCUGUCUCUCUCUCUCUCUCUGUCUCUCUCUCUCUCUUCUCCCUCUGUCUCUCUCUCUCUCUCUCUCUCUCUCUCUCUCUCUGUCUCUGUCUCUCUCUCUGUCUCUCUUCUCCCUCUGUCUCUCUCUCUCUCUCUCUCUCUUCUCCCUCUGUCUCUCUUUACACAAUGAGCCUAAUUCUGAUUCCACGAUGUUCCUGACACCAGUCCAUUACUCUUAUAUCCAGGCAGUGAAAUCUAUGGGGUCACACAUCGGGGAGAAGGGCAGAGUAUAUACAUACCUGCUGUCACAGAAGACAUUAUGGCACAGCUGCAAAGAAGGGUCCUCUAUCCACCUCUAUGGGCUGGUCUUUAUAUUCUCCUGUCCAGCAUGCAGCCCUCUAUCCACCUCUAUGGGCUGGUCUUUCUCUCUACUCUCCUGUCCAGCCCUCUAUCCACCUCUAUGGGCUAGUCUUUCUCUCUAAUCUCCUGUCCAGCCCUCUAUCCACCUCUAUGGGAUAGUCUUUCUCUCUACUCUCCUGUCCAGCCCUCUAUCCACCUCUAUGGGCUAGUCUUUCUCUCUAAUCUCCUGUCCAGCCCUCUAUCCACCUCUAUGGGCUAGUCUUUCUCUCUAAUCUCCUGUCCAGUCUGUGGACCUAUAUCCACCUCUAUGAGCUAGUCUUUCUCUAUAUUCUCCUGUCCAGCCCUCUAUCCACCUCUAUGGGCUAGUCUUUCUCUCUCCUGUCCAGCAGGUAGCCCUCUAUCCACCUCUAUGGGCUAGUCUCUCUCUCUACUCUCCUGUCCAGUCUGUGGCCCUCUAUCCACCUCUAUGAGCUAGUCUUUCUCUCUCCUGUCCAGCAUGUAGCCCUCUAUCCACCUCUAUGGGCUAGUCUUUCUCUCUACUCUCCUGUCCAGCAUGUAGCCCUCUACCCACCUCUAUGUGCUAGUCUCUCUUUCUCCUCUCAUGUCCAGCCCUCUAUCCACCUCUAUGGGCUAGUCUUUCUCUCUAAUCUCCUGUCCAGCAUGUAGCCCUCUAUCCACCUCUAUGUGUCACAUGUCUUGCCCAUCCUACAAAGAAGACCAAUCAACCAAUCCAGGCUCUUUACUGGUGACAACCAGUAUGUUGAAAGAUGCUCAUUAGACGGCCUAGCUUUCACCUGGUUGAGAUGCUCAUUAGACGGCCUAGCUUUCACCUGGGUCAGGCAGUUUUUGAGAGGAGGACAGACUUGAAUUGUCAACUGAGCCUGUGUAUCUAACAGCUAUAGUUUAAUCUAAUGACAACAGGUGGCCCUCUUCAUUCAGACAGACUCUCCAUUUGGACAAACGAGGUUAGAGCGGGAGUUUGAAACAAGAUGAAGAUUGUACUGGCCGUGGCUCUCGUCCUGCUGUAUGUCUGGCUUCAGAAUGCCCACAGGUCUGACGUCACCCAACAAGGAAGUGUUUGUGAUCAGGCUCUUCCUCUGGCCAUUUCCAGGCUCCUCAUCUCCCUCUCUCGGUCUACUCCUGGCUGGUCUCUGUGAUGGUUAAACUCCUCUUCUCCUCUCUGACCCUCAUCUCCUCCUCCCUGGAUGAUACACUGUCCUGCUCCUGCUUGCCGGGCCCUGCUGUAUCGCCACCUUGUCUCUGUCUGUGCUAGUGUCCUGUCUCCGUGUAGUUAUCUAUAUGGUUCACCUAGUGUUGGUGCUCUGUGCUCUGGCAGUGCUCGCCAUCAUGACUCCACACAAAA